GAAUAUUCAUGUACAUUAUAUAAGUGUGGCAUUUUUUGGAAGAAUAGGAAGAUGUAAAGUAAGGAUAGGAAUGUGUAAAGCAAGGACGUGCAGAAACAUGUAAAGUAAAGACAGGAACAAUGGAACAUGUAAAGUAGUCAAUCAGGAAUGUGUAAAGUAAGGACAGGAAUGUGUGAAGUAAAGACAUGCAGGAACAUGUAAAUCGCUAGAUAUAAUGACGGAGUGGAAAAUCACAGUAGUUAACAAAACAGGAGAAGAUUCAGCCUCUGGUGAGGGAAGUAUUGUGAAGUUUGCACUUUUCCAAGUACCAUCAGAAAAGGAUGAGACGAAUACCUAUCCUUGUGCUUGGGUUGUCGAUAAGGUUGCAUAUCCUGGGGAAAUUCAUGAUAUCACAUUACCCAAUGAAUUUGAGUUGGCAAUCGUAGAUGAAGUAAAUGGUAGCGAGCGAAUAACUGGCCCUUUUCCAGUUUCGUCUGGUAAAGAGGUUUACAUAACCCAAAAGAGUCGCGACGAUCCGCCGAGUCAUGAAAUAAAAGAGGGUAAAGCACUCGACGACGACACGGCGCCCAUGAUUCAGGUGUUUAACAACCAGGGAAACAUUCAGCCUCUCACAAUGGUUCUGUACAAGAAGCAGAAGAAAUUGAUAAUGUCCGAUAAAGUUGUUCCUGGAAGCUCCGUGAAUAUGAGCGUAAAACAACAGAUAAAUAUUCAUGACGCUGGCAGCACAAAUGAUAUUAACGAAGGUGACUCGUUGAAAGACCAAGGCAUAAUUACAUCCUCCACUAUGUUCAAGUUAUUACCCUCAACUCCUAGGAUCACGAUAGAUGUACAUCGAGGACCAACUGGUCAACUUUCUUUUAACUUGAGCCCCUUGUGACUUAGUAAGGGUCUCAAUAAGAACUUUGAAGAGAAUACAUAAAAUGAGAUUUCCUGCCAUUUGAGGAUAGCAUUUUUCUACGAUUUUUGAACGACGUAAAUUUAUCGUUAAAUAAUAAAUAUAAAUCGUUUCAACAUUAGUUUCUUUUCCCUAUUUUGGGGUCCAGAAAACCUGGGCAAAUUGCCCCUUGAUCUCUCCUGUGGGCGCCCCUUAGCAAUAGUCAGGAUUUAGUGAAAUGCCAUUCGAUAUCUAUGAGUGCUUGUGUGUGACUACAAGUCAGUAGUCUUGCUUGCUUCAAUAAAUUUACACGUAGUAAGUUUACAGUUGUUUGGAAAUCUUUUCACGUUCUGGUUUAGUUUGCUAUAGUUUUCAUUCGGUCGCUGCCGACAAGUGAUAGAUCGGUCAUAGACUAAAAGUGUUUCAUUAUAUCUCUUGGAUUAAUUUGCAUACCUCAGAAGGAAUCAAGAUAAACUUAACCACCACUGGUCACUGUAGUGACAGGUAGUGACUAAAUAACUUUAGUUUGUGUUUGAAUGUGGUACUUCUACAUGUUUAUUAGCACAUUAGCAAGGAAAUGACCAUUUGAGUUACAAGAAUAGGUCCGCCAAGGGUACAUGUAUCUGCGCAUGCUUGCAUAUAUCAUUUUGUACCACUGAGCUAUAUUUAAAUUCCUGGAAUUUAAUAGCUCAGUGGUUUGUACUCUACUGUGCUACUGUAAUUCAGUUUACAAGCCACGAUGUGUCACAAUCUGAGAGAUGAUUAUUCAUAUUUCCACCCAAUUUAUUCCACAUUUUUUGCAAAUAAACAGUAAAAUGAUCAUGUUAAAGAUAUUAUUCGUUUAUUUGUUGAUAUUGAAGAAGUACAAAAAGCUAGAACCCCUGUAAUGAUGGCAUCGUACGAUUCCUUCGUCCAAUGAAACCACCCUGGAAAACAAACUUUGACCUCAAAUACCGGGGAAUGAUCCCUAUGUCCACACAACCUCGGACUCCGGGUACAAGCUUG
rnacentral:lncRNA from 1 species